rnacentral:lncRNA from 1 species
CCAGUUACAGGAAAAGGAAAAUGCCAAGUUCAGCUUGGGAUAGAAUGUGCAGCUAAUUUGUAAAAGUAUGGUUGAAGAAUAGUAUUGUCAUGUGUUAGAUAGUUUAUGAUUGUGUAUUAGUUAAGGUUACUCGAUUUUGGGAAAAUAGUGUGUAAAGUUUAAUGUAUAAACAAUUUAUGUUUAUAUCUUCCGCAAUAGUGAUAGAAUUAGUAUACCGGAUCCGCGGCGAUUUGGGACCCGGAUUCGGGGAUGCUAC